GAGCGAACUUCCGUUAAGUGAUUAUGACGUACUUGUACUGAUUGAGAUUUUAACACGAAGUGAGUGGCGAACGGGUGAGUAACACGUGGGUAACCUGCCCAGAAGUAGGGGAUAACACCUGGAAACAGAUGCUAAUACCGUAUAACAGAGAAAACCGCAUGGUUUUCUUUUAAAAGAUGGCUCUGCUAUCACUUCUGGAUGGACCCGCGGCGUAUUAGCUAGUUGGUGAGGUAAAGGCUCACCAAGGCAGUGAUACGUAGCCGACCUGAGAGGGUAAUCGGCCACAUUGGGACUGAGACACGGCCCAGACUCCUACGGGAGGCAGCAGUAGGGAAUCUUCCACAAUGGACGCAAGUCUGAUGGAGCAACGCCGCGUGAGUGAAGAAGGGUUUCGGCUCGUAAAGCUCUGUUGUUAAAGAAGAACGUGGGUAAGAGUAACUGUUUACCCAGUGACGGUAUUUAACCAGAAAGCCACGGCUAACUACGUGCCAGCAGCCGCGGUAAUACGUAGGUGGCAAGCGUUAUCCGGAUUUAUUGGGCGUAAAGCGAGCGCAGGCGGUCUUUUAAGUCUAAUGUGAAAGCCUUCGGCUCAACCGAAGAAGUGCAUUGGAAACUGGGAGACUUGAGUGCAGAAAAGGACAGUGGAACUCC
rnacentral:rRNA from 1 species